rnacentral:rRNA from 1 species
GCGGCGGACGGGUGAGUAAUGCAUAGGAAUCUGCCCGGUAGUGGGGGAUAACCUGGGGAAACUCAGGCUAAUACCGCAUACGCCCUACGGGGGAAAGCAGGGGAUCUUCGGACCUUGCGCUAUCGGAUGAGCCUAUGUCGGAUUAGCUUGUUGGUGAGGUAAUGGCUCACCAAGGCGACGAUCCGUAGCUGGUCUGAGAGGAUGAUCAGCCACAUCGGGACUGAGACACGGCCCGAACUCCUACGGGAGGCAGCAGUGGGGAAUAUUGGACAAUGGGCGAAAGCCUGAUCCAGCCAUGCCGCGUGUGUGAAGAAGGCUUUCGGGUUGUAAAGCACUUUCAGUGAGGAAGAAAGCCUUGGGGCUAAUACCCCCAAGGGACGACAUCACUCACAGAAGAAGCACCGGCUAACUCCGUGCCAGCAGCCGCGGUAAUACGGAGGGUGCGAGCGUUAAUCGGAAUUACUGGGCGUAAAGCGCGCGUAGGUGGCUUGAUAAGCCGGUUGUGAAAGCCCCGGGCUCAACCUGGGAACGGCAUCCGGAACUGUCAGGCUAGAGUGCAGGAGAGGAAGGUAGAAUUCCCGGUGUAGCGGUGAAAUGCGUAGAGAUCGGGAGGAAUACCAGUGGCGAAGGCGGCCUUCUGGACUGACACUGACACUGAGGUGCGAAAGCGUGGGUAGCAAACAGGAUUAGAUACCCUGGUAGUCCACGCCGUAAACGAUGUCGACUAGCCGUUGGGGUCCUUGAGACCUUUGUGGCGCAGUUAACGCGAUAAGUCGACCGCCUGGGGAGUACGGCCGCAAGGUUAAAACUCAAAUGAAUUGACGGGGGCCCGCACAAGCGGUGGAGCAUGUGGUUUAAUUCGAUGCAACGCGAAGAACCUUACCUACCCUUGACAUCGUGCGAACUUUCCAGAGAUGGAUUGGUGCCUUCGGGAACGCACAGACAGGUGCUGCAUGGCUGUCGUCAGCUCGUGUUGUGAAAUGUUGGGUUAAGUCCCGUAACGAGCGCAACCCUUGUCCCUAUUUGCCAGCGAUUCGGUCGGGAACUCUAGGGAGACUGCCGGUGACAAACCGGAGGAAGGUGGGGACGACGUCAAGUCAUCAUGGCCCUUACGGGUAGGGCUACACACGUGCUACAAUGGUCGGUACAAUGGGUUGCGAAGCCGCGAGGUGGAGCUAAUCCCAUAAAGCCGGUCUCAGUCCGGAUCGGAGUCUGCAACUCGACUCCGUGAAGUCGGAAUCGCUAGUAAUCGUGAAUCAGAAUGUCACGGUGAAUACGUUCCCGGGCCUUGUACACACCGCCCGUCACACCAUGGGAGUGGACUGCACCAGAAGUGGUUAGCCUAAC